rnacentral:rRNA from 1 species
GAUGAACGCUGGCGGCGUGCUUAACACAUGCAAGUCGAACGAAGCACUUUAUUUGAUUUCCUUCGGGACUGAUUAUUUUGUGACUGAGUGGCGGACGGGUGAGUAACGCGUGGGUAACCUGCCUUGUACAGGGGGAUAACAGUUGGAAACGGCUGCUAAUACCGCAUAAGCGCACAGCAUCGCAUGAUGCAGUGUGAAAAACUCCGGUGGUAUAAGAUGGACCCGCGUUGGAUUAGCUAGUUGGUGAGGUAACGGCCCACCAAGGCGACGAUCCAUAGCCGACCUGAUAGGGUGACCGGCCACAUUGGGACUGAGACACGGCCCAAACUCCUACGGGAGGCAGCAGUGGGGAAUAUUGCACAAUGGGCGAAAGCCUGAUGCAGCGACGCCGCGUGAGCGAAGAAGUAUUUCGGUAUGUAAAGCUCUAUCAGCAGGGAAGAUAAUGACGUUACCUGACUAAGAAGCACCGGCUAAAUACGU